UUGACCUCGGAUCAGGUAGGAAUACCCGCUGAACUUAAGCAUAUCAAUAAGGCGG
rnacentral:rRNA from 1 species